ensembl:lncRNA
GGGAUGGGUGGCUGAACCUGGUCUGUUGGGACCCCUGGAGCUGGGGCUUUUGCCCUCAAACUCUGGUAACAGUCACAGAGAACUGCACGCUCACUGCAUAUCCAUGUGCUUUUCUACAUUUGCCCUCCUUCCUUGCAAUUAAUGGCACCAGGUGCCAGGUUCUGGUCAAUGGGAGAUGGGGAAGAGUGAAAGAAGCCAUGGCCAGGCCUGGCCUUUCCUUAAAAACAUCCAUAGCCUCAGCUGUCUCCUAUCCUGCCAUGGUGAGCUCACAGGCUACGGGCUUGUUAUAGGUUGAAUUGUGACCCCCCAAAUCUAGGUGGAAAUCCUAACCCUCUCCUGUCUGUGAAUGUGGCCUUGUCUGGAAACAAGGUCUUGGCAGGUGUAUUCGUGUUAUGAUGAAGUCGUUAUGAGGCCCCUGAUCUAAGGCCGAGGGACACACUCAGAGGGACGAAGGCCGUGUAAAGAGGGGGCAGAGACGGGAGUGACAUGGCCACAGGCCGAAGGACACCAGGAUGAUCCUUCUCUAGAGGCCACACGGGGAGCUGGCUCCUCGCUGUGUCCAGUUUCUGGUCCUGAAGCAACAGAGCCAACUGACCAUGGACUGAAACAUCUGAAACUGUGAGCCAAGAUAAAUCUUUCCUUCAAGUUGUUGCUCUCAGGCUGUCAACAUGAGCUGCUUUAUACAUCACUUCAUUUAGAAGAAGAGAGACCAGAAUGUAGAGUUGCCACUCAGAUAUGCAGAAGAGUGACCAGAAUUCUGCAGUUUGUUAUGAAAGCCUUCUCAGUGGAACCAAUCUCCAUGACGAUCAUGCUCCAUUUCAGGACUUUUCCCACCUUCACGACUUCUCCUAUAAGGAAUCCCCAAGAAAUCCUCCUCUUCCUGGAGCAGUGUGUGUGGGGGUGCAAGGGUGUUUCCCAGAGGAGACUUCCACAGGUGCUCACCUCACUUCUGCCUGCCCAGGUCCCCUGCUCACAUGCUCUCCCUUCCUGUUCGGCUAUGGAGAAAAUGCUCAGGCUCCUGUAAGAGAGAUCUCACCUCUCUCCUCUGCUCAAGGCUAUUCUCCAAUAAUUUGUUCCCCUCUCUCCUGCAUCACCAAUUUUUUCUUUGGUUGCAUAUUGGCAUUGGUGCACAAACUUUUCUUGACCUCAACGAACGCUCCCACUCGAUUUCUUUCAUUUUUGCACUAUAGCUUCUAUUUUUUCCACCUUCAAUCUCUUUCCUCCAUUCUCUUAAAAAGAAUUUUUUUUUUUGGUGGUAAAAUACUGUGCCAGUUAAUCUUAAUUGUCACCUUGAUUGAAGACUCCUGGAGAGGAGAGUGGACCCUGGGCACUGUACUCAUCAGUGGAUUAACCCACUAAUGUUCACAGCUGAGUGGGCUGUUAGGCGGUGAGGCCCAGUUGGAAGUGGGGCUGCCUUUGUCGGGUGUGUCUCUCCUGGUCUCCGCCCCUACACUCUGCUUCCGGACCUCCAUGAAGAGAGCGGCUUUGCUCCACCACGCCCUUCUGCUAUGAUGUCCCUGCCUUGGAGCGAGUGGACCUCGGAACUCUGUGGCUUCUUCCACUUCAGCCUGUAGACAACUGUUGCCUCUCCCACGUGUAGCUUCUGGGACGGCCCCUCUAGACAGCUCCUUCCUGCUGAGGACUCUGGUUCUAGCACAUGGACUUCUUGGCCUGCCCUGACUGGAGGAAGUGCCUCACUGUUCUUCAGCUGAAUGGCUUCUUUCCCACUUUUUCUUUUUCUUUUUUUUAAAGAUCAAGUUUAUGGAGAAAUAAUUUAUAUAUAAUAAAAUGCACAAGAAAUAUUUAGUGUGAUGAAUUUUAAUAAAUAUGUCCACUUCUGUAAUCAUCAUCCUAAUCAAGAUAAUCAAUUCCAUCAGCCAGAACUGUCCUUUUUUCCCCUACGAAGUUAACCAUCCCUGCCAAGGAAAUCAUUGAUCUUGAACAUUCUAUAUUAGUUUUUCCUACUGUAA